rnacentral:rRNA from 1 species
AUUGAACGCUGGCGGCAGGCCUAACACAUGCAAGUCGAGCGGCAGCGGGAAAGUAGCUUGCUACUUUUGCCGGCGAGCGGCGGACGGGUGAGUAAUGCCUGGGGAUCUGCCCAGUCGAGGGGGAUAACUACUGGAAACGGUAGCUAAUACCGCAUACGCCCUACGGGGGAAAGCAGGGGACCUUCGGGCCUUGCGCGAUUGGAUGAACCCAGGUGGGAUUAGCUAGUUGGUGAGGUAAUGGCUCACCAAGGCGACGAUCCCUAGCUGGUCUGAGAGGAUGAUCAGCAACACUGGAACGGAGACACGGUCCAGACUCCUACGGGAGGCAGCAGUGGGGAAUAUUGCACAAUGGGGGAAACCCUGAUGCAGCCAUGCCGCGUGUGUGAAGAAGGCCUUCGGGUUGUAAAGCACUUUCAGCGAGGAGGAAAGGUUGGUAGCUAAUAACUGCCAGCUGUGACGUUACUCGCAGAAGAAGCACCGGCUAACUCCGUGCCAGCCGCCGCCGUAAAAC